CUCUAAACUUUCAAGCGACAUUGUCAGAGCAAGCUAACUGUCAAAGCUUAAAAGCUUCAUCAAUGCUUCGAUUUUUUUUUGCAUCUAAUUAAGGUAUGGUUUUGUUUCAUCCUUAAGUUGUUAUUUUUUCAUGAAAUUCAAUUGAUUUCUUCUAUGGGUACAAUCAUCUUACCCACCAAUUGAAGAACCUUCAUUGAAGAAAAUCCACAAUAGACCCACUGUAAAGAGAAAGCCAUCUCUAGGGGUGGUUGAUGGUUGUAAGCUGUCAAGGAAAGGUCAAAUAAACAAAUGCAGCAAUUGUGGGGAGGUGGGGCACAACAAAAGAAAAUGUGUUGCCCCGGUAAAGCAACCAGGUUGCAUAAAAUUUCUCAAGAAACCUAUAACAACACCCAGGAAGAAAAAGAAGCAACAGAAUUGUGUCUCAACAACACUAGUGAAGCCUUCAACACAACAAACCCAAUGCUCAAUUGCUCCACACAACAAAGGUGUUGGAGUGUACACUUAUCCAAGUGGUUUUCAGAGGCAAGCAGAGUUCAUCAAUACCGUUGGGAGUCAAUCAACCAAAGCAUCAAACUCAACACAAUUGGAUCAAAUGGGUUAAUUAUACAAGAGACCAACACAAUUGUUCUACCUUGACUAAGACAAGGAUGGAAGAUAGAAGAUGGAAGA